rnacentral:pre_miRNA from 1 species
UUAACUCCAAUUUGUAUGCAGUUGGAACAGCGCCCCUGGCGGAAAACAUAGGCAAACGUUUCAACUCCAUACAAAUUUAAGUUA